CCUACAGAUUAUGAAGGUGGUUUUGCUACCUUGCCAUCAUACUAGCCAACCUUAGGAUCCAGCCUGUUUGCUUUGAUUGGUGGAUGUUAACUUACGUCUGACCAAUGAGAUGCAAGCGUUGUGCUCUGGGGCCUUCUGGGAAAACCUUUUCUCCCUGGAAAGAGAGGGCGUCCUGCAGAGUGUUAUUUUCUCUCUGUGGCCCUUGCCUUCCUUUGAAUUUUGAGCAUUUGGAUACUCCUGUCCACACCUCCUGCUACUACCCUGAUCCAGAUAAUUCGUUUACCGCAAACGUCCCGGGCUUCUCACUAGUCUCCCAGUUCCCACGCUCCCCCUACAACCCCUCCCCACAACUGUAGUCAGAGAAAUCCUAUCAGAUCCGUCAGGUCCUGUCCCUUCUCUCUCAGACCCUCCAGGAACUUCUCACCCCUCUCUGAGUGAAAGCCCAAGACCUCACACCCCCUGCAAGGCCGCUGUAGAUCCUGCCCUGCCUCUCUUUCCAUCUUCACCCUGCCCCUGCCGCUCUGGCCUCAGUGCUCUUCAGGGAGGAAUGAGCUGUUUGCACGAGCUGGGCCUUUGCAGAGCUCUUCCCCGGGAAUCCCCGUGGCUCCCGCCCCUGCUCAUUCGGAUCCCCUCCACGAGUCAGGCCGAGCCUAGCAGAGCCGAACAGGGAGCCUGAGCUGGGACCCCGAUGACUCAGCGGAGUCCCUGCCAGCCAUGGCCCUCUUGCUCCAGGAUUCUCCUUGAUUGGAGGAAGAAGAAAACAACAGAAGGCUUAGCUGCAAGUGUGAAUUCAUGUCCAAGGAUUCAUGAAAGCAGCAUAGACUGAGAAAGGGAAAGAUGGGUAGAUGUCCCAGAAAAUUCAGGUUAAAAAGACUUUUAUUGGAAGCAUCAUAGUCAUCCAGGCACACCUUGUAGAGUUUAUCCCUCCUUUCUUCUGGAAGAACCUCAGGGGUCAUGCCAACAUUUAGUGGAAAUAUCAAAGCAUCACUAGAGUUCCUUAAGCCAAGGACAAGUGUUCAGGUUCCAGCCCUGCCAACACCUGUGGUUUCACUUCCCUGCCAGCC
ensembl:lncRNA